rnacentral:rRNA from 1 species
AUGGAGCAAGGCGCCGACUCCGCGGCGGCGAGGCGGAUGGCCAGGGUCGCCUCCCACCUCCGCCCGCCCACCUCGCAGAUGGAGGAGGUGGCCAUCUUGAAGGGCUCUGAUUGCCGUGCAAAAGGUGCGGCACCAGGGUUCAAGGUCGCAGUCCUGGGUGCAUCUGGUGGGAUUGGCCAGCCGCUCUCGCUGCUCAUGAAGAUGAACCCUCUUGUUUCGGUGCUCCAUUUAUAUGAUGUUGUCAACACACCUGGUGUCACAGCUGACAUUAGCCACAUGAACACCGGUGCUGUGGUGCGUGGCUUCUUGGGUCAGUCACAAUUGGAAAGUGCUCUUACUGGAAUGGAUCUUGUGAUCAUUCCUGCUGGCAUUCCUCGGAAACCUGGGAUGACAAGGGAUGAUUUGUUCAACAUCAAUGCCGGGAUUGUUCGGACUCUUUGUGAGGGAAUUGCAAAAUGCUGCCCAAAUGCGAUUGUGAAUGUGAUCAGUAACCCUGUAAAUUCUACCGUUCCGAUCGCUGCUGAAGUAUUUAAAAAAGCUGGAACAUAUGAUCCUAAGCGCCUAUUGGGGGUGACAACACUUGAUGUAGUGAGAGCCAAUACCUUUGUGGGAGAGGUUCUUGGACUUGACCCCAGAGAUGUCAAUGUUCCUGUUGUUGGUGGGCAUGCAGGAGUUACGAUAUUACCACUCCUUUCACAGGUGAAUCCUCCCUGCUCGUUUACCUCAGAAGAAAUUAGUUAUCUCACUUCUCGCAUACAGAAUGGUGGGACAGAAGUAGUUGAGGCCAAAGCAGGAGCAGGAUCCGCGACUCUUUCCAUGGCCUACGCAGCAGCCAAAUUCGCGGACGCGUGCCUGAGAGGGCUGCGCGGCGACGCCGGGAUAGUGGAGUGCUCUUACAUAGCCUGUCAGGUGACGGAGCUGCCCUUCUUCGCGUCCAAGGUGCGGCUGGGCCGGUCGGGCGUCGAGGAGGUCCUGCCGCUCGGCCCGCUGAACGAGUUUGAGAGGGCGGGGCUGGAGAAGGCCAAGGGCGAGCUGGCCGAGAGCAUCCACAAGGGCGUCGCCUUUGCCAACAAGUGA